rnacentral:rRNA from 1 species
GAUGAACGCUAGCGGCAGGCCUAACACAUGCAAGUCGAGGGGUAGAAGGAGCUUGCUCCUUUGAGACCGGCGCACGGGUGCGUAACGCGUAUGCAAUCUACCUUGUACAGGGGAAUAGCCCAGAGAAAUUUGGAUUAAUGCCCCAUAGUAUAUAACCUUCGCAUGUUGGUUAUAUUAAAGUUCCAACGGUACAAGAUGAGCAUGCGUCCCAUUAGUUAGUUGGUAAGGUAACGGCUUACCAAGACGAUGAUGGGUAGGGGUCCUGAGAGGGAGAUCCCCCACACUGGUACUGGGACCCGGACCAGACUCCUACGGGAGGCAGCAGUGAGGAAUAUUGGUCAAUGGUCGCAAGACUGAACCAGCCAUGCCGCGUGCAGGAAGACGGUCCUAUGGAUUGUAAACUGCUUUUAUACAGGAAGAAACCCUCCCACGUGUGGGAGCUUGACGGUACUGGAGGAAUAAGGAUCGGCUAACUCCGUG